rnacentral:rRNA from 1 species
UACGUAGGGGGCCAGCGUUGUCCGGGAUCAUUGGGCGUAAAGAGCUCGUAGGCGGUUUGUCGCGUCUGCCGUGAAAGUCCGGGGCUCAACUCCGGAUCUGCGGUGGGUACGGGCAGACUAGAGUGAUGUAGGGGAGACUGGAAUUCCUGGUGUAGCGGUGAAAUGCGCAGAUAUCAGGAGGAACACCGAUGGCGAAGGCAGGUCUCUGGGCAUUAACUGACGCUGAGGAGCGAAAGCAUGGGGAGCGAACAGG